rnacentral:rRNA from 1 species
AUUGAACGCUGGCGGCAUGCCUUACACAUGCAAGUCGAACGGCAGCACGGGAGCAAUCCUGGUGGCGAGUGGCGAACGGGUGAGUAAUAUAUCGGAACGUGCCCAGUAGUGGGGGAUAACUGCUCGAAAGAGCAGCUAAUACCGCAUACGACCUGAGGGUGAAAGGGGGGGAUCGCAAGACCUCUCGCUAUUGGAGCGGCCGAUAUCAGAUUAGCUAGUUGGUGGGGUAAAGGCCUACCAAGGCAACGAUCUGUAGCUGGUCUGAGAGGAUGAUCAGCCACACUGGGACUGAGACACGGCCCAGACUCCUACGGGAGGCAGCAGUGGGGAAUUUUGGACAAUGGGGGCAACCCUGAUCCAGCCAUUCCGCGUGAGUGAAGAAGGCCUUCGGGUUGUAAAGCUCUUUCGGCAGGAACGAAACGGCGAGCUCUAACAUAGCUUGCUAAUGACGGUACCUGAAGAAGAAGCACCGGCUAACUACGUGCCAGCCGCCGCCGUAACAC